UGGGGAAUUUUGGACAAUGGGCGAAAGCCUGAUCCAGCCAUGCCGCGUGCAGGAUGAAGGCCUUCGGGUUGUAAACUGCUUUUGUACGGAACGAAAAGACUCCUUCUAAUAAAGGGGGUCCAUGACGGUACCGUAAGAAUAAGCUCCGGCUAACUACGUGCCAGCAGCCGCGGUAAUACGUAGGGUGCAAGCGUUAAUCGGAAUUACUGGGCGUAAAGCGUGCGCAGGCGGUUAUAUAAGACAGAUGUGAAAUCCCCGGGCUCAACCUGGGAACUGCAUUUGUGACUGUAUAGCUAGAGUACGGUAGAGGGGGAUGGAAUUCCGCGUGUAGCAGUGAAAUGCGUAGAUAUGCGGAGGAACACCGAUGGCGAAGGCAAUCCCCUGGACCUGUACUGACGCUCAUGCACGAAAGCGUGGGGAGCAAACAGG
rnacentral:rRNA from 1 species